rnacentral:lncRNA from 1 species
UUAUGUGCUAUGUAUGUAUGUUAUGUUUUAUGCCAUGCUAUGUGUGCUAGUUGAGGUACAUUCGGGGACGAAUGUUCUUAAGGGGGGGAGAAUGUAAUACCCGGCUAGACUCCGGUAUCGGAAUUCCUACCGUCCGGUGGAAUCUCGGAUGUCGGAAGCCUCUAGUAUGGUAGAAACAUGUUUUCAUAAAAUGUUUUAAGGUAUUUCAUGGUUUUAAGUA